rnacentral:rRNA from 1 species
GACGUAGGGCGCGAGCGUUGUCCGGAUUUAUUGGGCGUAAAGAGCUCGUAGGCGGUUUGUCGCGUCGUUCGUGAAAACUCACAGCUUAACUGUGAGCUUGCGGUCGAUACGGGCAGGCUAGAGUUCGGUAGGGGAGACUGGAAUUCCUGGUGUAGCGGUGAAAUGCGCAGAUAUCAGGAGGAACACCGAUGGCGAAGGCAGCUCGCUGGGACGGUACUGACGCUGAGGCGCGAAAGCGUGGGGAGCAAACAGG